CAGCAGGUCAGUACAACUGUAGUUAGUCACUUUAACCCAGAAAAGGAUUUAGAUCAGUCAUUCUUUAGCUUAUCUUAUCAGAAACUGUAGAGUACUCACUAUUUAGAAAUGGAAUUAGAUGCUUUACAACCCUGAACAGGAGCACUUAG